rnacentral:rRNA from 1 species
UACAGAGGUCCCGAGCGUUGUUCGGAUUCAUUGGGCGUAAAGGGUGCGUAGGCGGCGGGGAAAGUCUGAUGUGAAAUCCUGGGGCUCAACCCUGGAACUGCAUUGGAUACUUCCUUGCUAGAGUACUGGAGAGGAAACUGGAAUUUACGGUGUAGCAGUGAAAUGCGUAGAGAUCGUAAGGAAGACCAGUGGCGGAGGCGAGUUUCUGGACAGUUACUGACGCUGAGGCACGAAGGCCAGGGGAGCAAACGGG